UGUGGUCACCUGCAGGUCUCCUCCAGCCAGCCAGCCGGCUCGCAGUAAGAACCGCCAGGGCACUUGUGAACGUCCAGGCAGUGGCCUCGCCUUGCCAGGGGACUUCAGAUGCCAGCCUCCAGCACCAGGAGGGAUAAACGCCUCUUGUUGAAGCCGCCCCAUCUGGGGUAUCUGCUUUUGGCAGCUGAGCGGACUCAUACUGGUCUAGACGCACAGUCUGUAACCUCUGGGAGGAGGUCCAGGAAUGGAACCAUCCGAGAUGGACUCUCUAAUAUUUUCUGGGAGGAAUCAAGGGACUCCAAUGCUGGAAGCAAGGCCCCUGGAGGACCUCAGGGUGGUGCUGACAGCCCUUUGUGACUCAGGGACUCACCGGUGUCCGCCCAGGCAGUUCCCCUUUCCGUCGGCCUCAGGGAACUGCUCAGGAGAUCUUCUCAUGAGAGAACAGGAAGAGACUGGAACUAACAGAAUCGCCAACACCCCGCGGCUACGUGACGGGCGGAUUCGUCAGGACUGUUUCUGGACCCAGAGUGAAGGGUCAGCAGGGGGCUGCCCCCGGAGGAUGUAAGGUCUCCUUAGCCCUGGGCUGGGGUUCUCGGGGGGACAGAUGUCUCAGCAGCAGAUGGGGAAGCGGGUAGUUACCGAGACUGUUACUACCGAGACCGUUACCUGGACCCCAGGCUGCAGGGACAUCAGUACCUAAAAUAAUCGGAACCUGUUUCUCUUUUCCCCGAGGAAUCCCGGCUGCUCCACAGACAGGUGCCAGCGUUCAGACCCUGAGGCUGCCUCUGGCUCCACAAGUGUGGAUGUGCCCAGGCAGGUCUCAAGACGGAGCCUUGAGAAGCAGGAAAGGCCGUGUGGAUGGAGCCCCUGGGGACGGAGAGGAGGAGGAAGGUGAGUGUCCAUUUGAGCAGCUCCCGUCUCUCUCCAUACUUCAUACCCUCCUACGCGGGAGGCCCCAUAGCAUCCAUUUAACUCAAACGGUAUUGGAGAUCUGUGGUGAUGAUGCCUGAUGUUCAUGCUCCCCCUUGGAGGUGGACUGGGUGGAGCAGAGGAGUCAUCUGAUUCACCGUACAGGACAGCGUCCAGCCUUCACGCCGGGACGUCCUCCAGGGACGCCGUCGGGAGUCACAGGCUUCAGGAAGGUAGGUGCUUCGUCUGUAACGUCUUUAGCCUGAAAGGAAGCAGCCUUUAAGGAAAUCUGGAAUGUAAACAUGAGCCUUUGCCCAGAAAAGAAAGAAACUUAUGGACUUGGAGAACAGACUUGUGGUUGCAGAGGGGGAGGGAGUGGGAUGGACGGGGAGUCUGGGGUUAACAGAUGCAAACUAUUGCCUAUGGAAUAGAAAAGCAAUGAGAUCCUGCUGUGCAGCACAGGGAACUAUGUCCAGUCACUUGGGAUAGACCAUGAUGGAGGAUAAUGUGAGAAAAAGAAAUUAUAUAUGUAGGAUUGAGUCACUUUGCUGUACAGUAGAAAUGGACAGAAUACUAUAAAUCUACUAUAAUGGAAACAAUAAAAAUACUAAAUUUAACAAUUGAAAAAAUAGUCAUGACUGCACUAUCCUGUAGUAUAGGCACAUAUCUAUACUUCGGCUGAUCUUAUUAACAACUAUCAGAAAUAUAAAAUGUUAAUAUGAAA
rnacentral:lncRNA from 9 species